GGGGGGGGGGGGGGGGGGGGGGGGGGGGGGGGGGGGGGGCGUGCCAAAGAGCUGCUCCUCACACUGAGGCCUCCCGAGCCUCGGCACAGCAACUUUGCCGUGACAGCGCCGCGAUGCGGCCGCUGACAUCACAAUAGGAGCUCCGCAUCACAAUUAGGAGGCUGGCUGCUGAGGUCAUGUGUAGAAGCAGACCUUCUCUACAGCUAACGCCAAAAAAUGCCUGCAAAGUUCUCCUGUGAUACAUAUCAACACAGACACUAGCCCCCUGUGUAUUGCUCACGGCAUCUAAGAGUAACUCGAAAACAUACCAAGCCCCUAUUACCCACACUGAGAAGCAAAGCAACGCAACCCAGAGCAGCAAUACUGAUACUGAGUCCAGCCAAGCCAAAAAGGAGCCCAGCAGGGUAGAAGGAAGAGGCAGCAAAGCAGCAGAACCAGUCACCACACACGUGCCAAGUAUGGCAGACUAAUGGUAGUGGCAGUGCCAAACAGAGCUCUGCAGGGAGAGAGACAGCCAUGGCCACCACCACUGCCACAGAGAGGGAGCAGGAAACUGCCACUGCAGGUCCAGAGCUGCCCCAGGCAGCAACAGCAGCCCCAUCUACCAUCAGAACCACUCUGGGAGAGGGAAGAGACUUUACAGGGACUAUCUCAAGACAAGGACAAAGGAGAAAAAGCUGAAGAAAGAAAAAACAACCCUCAUGCUGCCUCUUUUGGAAGGAAUAAAAG
rnacentral:lncRNA from 12 species